AAGACUAUACUUUCAGGGAUCAUUUCUAUAGUGCUUGACUUGCGAAAUGAUUUCUCAGAAAUGGUUUUCUGAAAUGUUUGGUCUCGCUAACUACAAUGAUGCGAUAUCCCUUCCUGAGCAUGAAGCUGGCAGAAAGCAGCAAUUAUAUCAUAUGCUUCCUACCAUUGAUGAAUGUUCAGUGAUAGAAGAAAUAUGUUCAGAGUAGU